rnacentral:tRNA from 1 species
GCCCGGCUAGCUCAGUCGGUAGAGCAUGAGACUCUUAAUCUCAGGUUCGUUGGUUUGAGCCCUAUGUUGGGCG